rnacentral:rRNA from 1 species
AUUGAACGCUGGCGGCAGGCCUAACACAUGCAAGUCGAACGAGUGGCGGACGGGUGAGUAAUGUCUGGGAAACUGCCUGAUGGAGGGGGAUAGCUACUGGAAACGGUAGCUAAUACCGCAUACCAUCAGAUGUGCCCAGAUGGGAUUAGCUAGUUGGUGGGGUAACGGCUCACCAAGGCGACUAUCCCUAGCUGGUCUGAGAGGAUGACAAGCAACAAUGGAAAUGAGACACGGUCCAGAUUCCUAAGGGAGGCAUCAGUGGGGAAGAUUGCACAAUGGGCGCAAGCCUGAUGCAGCCAUGCCGCGUGUAUGAAGAAGGCCUGCGGGUUGUAAAGUACUUUCAGCGGGGAGGCGUUACCCGCAGAAGAAGCACCGGCUAACUCCGUGCCAGCCGCCGCGGUAAUUC